rnacentral:rRNA from 1 species
UUGAACGCUGGCGGAAUGCUUUACACAUGCAAGUCGAGCGGCAGCGCGGGGCAACCUGGCGGCGAGCGGCGAACGGGUGAGUAACAUAUCGGAACAUACCCAGUCGUGGGGGAUAACACAGCGAAAGUUGUGCUAAUACCGCAUACGUCCUGAGGGAGAAAGCGGGGGAUCGCAAGACCUCGCGCGAUUGGAGUGGCCGAUAUCGGAUUAGCUAGUUGGUGAGGUAAAGGCUCACCAAGGCGACGAUCCGUAGCUGGUCUGAGAGGACGACCAGCCACACUGGAACUGAGACACGGUCCAGACUCCUACGGGAGGCAGCAGUGGGGAAUUUUGGACAAUGGGCGCAAGCCUGAUCCAGCCAUUCCGCGUGAGUGAAGAAGGCCUUCGGGUUGUAAAGCUCUUUCGGCAGGAACGAAACGGUCUUUUCUAAUACAAGAGGCUAAUGACGGUACCUGAAGAAGAAGCACCGGCUAACUACGU